CACCUUCAUGCUUCGCUUCUACUGAGAAAAAAAAAGUCUUCUGGUUAAGGAUGAGUGAAAGGAACAAGUGUCCUGUUCUUUGCUGCCCGGAGCUGUGGAUGCUUUUCUGUUCACUGCUGUUGUAAAGAAGCUGGAAACCAGGGGUCACUGGAGGUGCCGGGGUGGGCGAGAGGAGCUGGUGCGUCUCGUCUUAAAGGCUCGGAUUUAAUUACGAGGACGUCGCGGAGGAGGAAGAGCGCGAUAACAAGCAGGAUAACAAAUCCUGACAGCGCUGGACUAAAAGGACGACUAUUAUAAUCCUGUCAGCUGAUAAACGAGAACAUGAUUAGCUUAGCAGGUGAUUAUUAAAGACAGACAUGAUGUUAAUGGUUUCUUAUUGGGUUUUAAAGAUGUACUCAAAUAUUCUGUGCUUUAGUUCAAAGUGUAUCACGGAGUCUCCAUUAAGUGAACUGAACUAGUAAUACAUUAUCCUUUCACAGCUGCCAAAUGCAAAAAAAAAGAAAGAAAGAAAUAAUUGUCCAAAUUCCUACUGUGUACCUCUGUGAUGUUGUUUGUCAAGGUGCAAUUGACACUUUUCUUUUGGGGCAAUGGUAACCGCUCAAGAUCAGGGUUAAUGAUCUGGGUUCAAGC